CAUUUCCACUGCCGCCUCUUGUUCCUGAAUAUGAUGCCAGCGUGUCAUCGUUGGCCCGCGUCCUGACAUGUGCUCCUUCUCUCUGUGGCCUACGGAGCUGGCUUGCGCUCGGUGGUUCCCAAGCCUACAGGCCACUGGAAGUGAGCUCCAAAAAUACAGAUUCCCCGGCCCCGUCCCUAGAGGUGCUGAGAUGACCGGACCUGGGAAUCAAACUUUUUAAAAGCUCCCUGUCUGACUCGGAUAUCAGCUGGCUUGGGAACGGCUGUCUUAGAUCAGUGGUUUCCAAACAUUUCUUUUCACCUCUAAAAUCUUACCCAGCAGUACAGUAGCUCAAGAGAUAAAAGCGGAACUGGUUUGGAUGAAGAGGAGUUGAGGCUCCAGAGCUCAGGCUUCUUCUCACCUCCAGAGUCUCUGGUGCCUCCCAAGAGCCUUCCUGACCUAUGGAACCCUAUUUGAAAACCAGUACCUACCUCAGUUCUCCGCAGCGGGCGCGAGGUGGCGGUGUGAGGACAGGGACGGGGAGAGGAGCGUUACCGAGCCACCAGGAAGAGGACGCAGCUGACGGCCAGAUAGGCUAGAAGCAUGAAGAGCCAGACGCCUGGAGAAAAUGGGUCCAGGAAGGAGAAAUAGCCAGAUGGAAGAACUGAGACCCGGGGAGGUUAAGUGCCUUGCUCAAAUCAGUGGUGAUGCCUUCCAUUUAUUUCUCCGGUGCUCGUUCGUCAAGCUGCGCCAUAGAGAUGCCACUCCUCUUUUGUUCAGAUGGCAGCUGUACCGCGUCUCCCUCUUCCUCCUUUAUCUUUGCAACUUGCUCCAAUAAACUCCCUAAUUAAUCUCA